GUAUAAUAUAUGGGCCUCUGAAUUCACUCUUCUUUCCAAACAAGAUCUGCAUUGAUCACCAUUGGAGAGACAGUGAGGUAUAGCCUCAGUUUCUCGCUAAGUUGAGGCUUUGUGAGCAAUGAUGGAGAACUGAGAUAUUAUUUUAAUUCCUUAAAUACUUUUUGGUAUUCAAUGGUCCAUUAGAAGUCUUUUGGCUAUCUGAGGAUCUGAAAAAAUGAAAAACACCUCUCGAUCGAUCUAGAGAUGAAGUGGUUGAGCAAAGCGAUCCUGCCAGUGAGAUGCUACACCUUUCCAACUAUUUUCAGUGGAGUCAUCUCAAGGAUUGUCCUGAUCUUCUCGGGAUUCGCCUCAAUACCUCUUCGUGAGAUCAUGAAUCUCAAGAAUUUUUUAAUGGUAACUCCUAAGGUGCAC
rnacentral:lncRNA from 1 species